GGCCUAAUAGUAUAGUCGUAUUAUACUCCCUUCGGGAAAAUACUGAAACCCUCAGGGGAGCCCUGAGUCUGGGAGAGGUCCCGGGUUCAAUUCCCGGUUGGGCCC